AAAAUAUACUAACUAAAUCUUUUAGGAUUAUAUUAAAACAUAAAAUAAAUCUAUUGAAUGAAUAUUGUUCACCUUCGGUGAAUCUAAAGAUAUAUCUGAUUGCAAUAGAUUUCUAAAUAAAUAAAUCAAAAUGUGCGGCGGAUGUGGCGGAUGCGGCGGUUGCGGCGGCUGCGGUGGCUGCGGCCCUUGCUGUGGAGGGUGCGGUCCUUGCUGCGGCGGGUGCUGCCCCUCACCGUGCUGCGCGCCAUGCGGCGGUGGAUGCUGCUGUCCCAAGAUAACAAUAUACACUUGUUGUACGAAGAUUUGUUAAAGGCUGGGAUAUCGAAGGGAGCUGCUAGAAACAGCGAUCCGGAAACUGGGUGCUAUGACGUCUAUGCCCCUGGCGUCCGGACUGCCGGUAUCAGGAGCGCCCUCGCUGUGGCGUCCACACAUUGUGCCGUUUUCAGUGAUGUUUAGAAUAAAAUAAGUUAGAAAUUAUA